rnacentral:rRNA from 1 species
GGUAGUCCACGCCGUAAACGAUGUCGACUUGGAGGUUGUUCCCUUGAGGAGUGACUUCCGGAGCUAACGCGUUAAGUCGACCGCCUGGGGAGUACGGCCGCAAGGUUAAAACUCAAAUGAAUUGACGGGGGCCCGCACAAGCGGUGGAGCAUGUGGUUUAAUUCGAUGCAACGCGAAGAACCUUACCUACUCUUGACAUCCAGAGAACUUAGCAGAGAUGCUUUGGUGCCUUCGGGAACUCUGAGACAGGUGCUGCAUGGCUGUCGUCAGCUCGUGUUGUGAAAUGUUGGGUUAAGUCCCGCAACGAGCGCAACCCUUAUCCUUUGUUGCCAGCGGUUAGGCCGGGAACUCAAAGGAGACUGCCAGUGAUAAACUGGAGGAAGGUGGGGAUGACGUCAAGUCAUCAUGGCCCUUACGAGUAGGGCUACACACGUGCUACAAUGGCGCAUACAAAGAGAAGCGACCUCGCGAGAGCAAGCGGACCUCAUAAAGUGCGUCGUAGUCCGGAUUGGAGUCUGCAACUCGACUCCAUGAAGUCGGAAUCGCUAGUAAUCGUAGAUCAGAAUGCUACGGUGAAUACGUUCCCGGGCCUUGUACACACCGCCCGUCACACCAUGGGAGUGGGUUGCAAAAGAAGUAGGUAGCUUAACCUUCGGGAGGGCGCUUACCACUUUGUGAUUCAUGACUGGGGU